UAAGUUCAAAGCAGGGAAGCUUUUAUCACAUAUUUAUCAAGGCAGUUGUACAUGAGAAGUAGCCUUCACAGAUCAAAGGAAUUCUUAUGUGGAAGAUGCAAAAGAAAAUUAAUUAAUGAUGGUAAGAAAAUAUUUUUAGAAAGAACAAUUACGUUUUAGUCCUAACUCUCGAGUGACUGACAGAAUAAUACUCGUUAUGUACUAAGCUCACUCUUAACUGUAAGAAAUGGCUACGCCAAUUGUAUAUAUCGGCAUAUCGCAAUCACAUACUAUGCACCUGAAGGAAAAAAAAAGAGGUAACACAACUUGUAAUAGAAGCAACUCUUUUGUAAUAAACCGCAUCAGGAAUAUUGUCAAUCUAUAGAUCAUCUGUGUUAGUUUUACAUGGUUUUUCUCAAAAGGAUUGGUGUAUAUAAAAGCAUGCACAUAUUGUAUUGGACCAGUACUAAGGACAAAGAUCUUGAGGGCAUACUAAAGAAAUUUAGUAAGACCCCAGCAGUUGGGUUUAAUACUUAUCUUUUGUUUUAUUUUUUUCCUUGAUCCAGCAAACCUCUCUAAUUCAUUCAGGCUCUCCAUCUUUCCACAUGCAAAAUCUGCAUUUGCUAUGACAUUUUAUCUGCAUAAACAAUAACCCAAGUACAACAGUUCCACCACGGACACAUGAAGGAAAUAAAUAUAUGUAACAAAAUGACCAGUAGCAACCCAGGAAUGGCUUCCCAUGCAUCUAUGAACUGCACACCCUUAUGAAUUUGCACAGCUGAUUUGACUGGCAAUCACAUGAUGCUUAAAGGAAGAUGUUUGUUAGAGGCAUUAUCAAGUCCUUACAGGCCAACCUAGACUGGCCAAUUCCAAAUAUAAGAACUUUGCCCAGUUCCAUGGAAUCUGGUAAUCCUUCGGCACCCAAAUCAGUUUUCAAGCCCAACAAAUGAACCAAAGAAGAUUCAUUAUUGCUCCAGUAAAAUGCGUAUUUCUGGCCAUUUGUGUGAAAAAUUGAUGUUCUCGAGAUUAAUUCCAGUAUAUAUAAUUAACCAAAAAACACACACAAUAGAAACCACAUCAUUUUCUUCCCUACUUCACGGUUUGUGGAUCUUCUUCACAAUCUUUCGCUUUGGCCCGGCACUCACUUCCAAAACUAUAGAAUUGAACGGCAUUUAGAAAACACUAUUUUUUCUUGCCAAGCUCAAUAUGGGAUGCAACCUGUCAUCCUAUCCUCAAGAGGAACAAAUCAGAAACAGAGCGGGAUGUUAUAAUAAAUGAUCACUUCAGUGCAGAAUUCCUAACCUAUUUUAAUUAAUGCGAGACCUAACCUUGAAUACUCGCAGCCAACCACUUAUAAAGAACUUCCCCAUCAAUACAUUUCUCUGUCCCAUCAACUCCCUGCAAAAGCUACGAAAUGUUGUUGUAUGAAUUCCAGGUAGUUCCUCCACGUAAAAGAUGCACAUUGCUUAUGUUCAGGCUGGAAACAAUAUGUGGGAAACUUAGAACAUGAACAAACACCGAGCAGUAAGGAAUAUAUAUCUAGUGCAUUGACAAUUACACAUUCAGCACUCAGCAGGAAAUUUGAGAUACUUAGUAUACAGACGUUAGGUAAAAACCUUGUCAGGUAAUGUGAUUCUUAUUCAAUCAGCAUAAACAUUAAAGAUUGCCAGGAAAUGCACAUGCUGAGGAAAUCUGUGGGAGGAGCUAUUCACCUGGGAAUUGUCGUGUAGGCAGAGUGAAGCGUUUUGUCAUGAUGAUGCCAUCCAGACAUGAUAAAUAAACACCUAGGAUUUCUGCAAAUAUUGUUUUACCAUAAUUUACUGUCAACCUACAGCCAUAGCACUAAAGGAUUUCUGCAUCAGAAUAAAGACAUCACAUAAUCAUGUUGCCUUUUGAUUUACAUGUCCUCAGCCUGUGGGGUUGAUUUGUAGCCACCGUGAAGUUUCGUUUAACUUAUUCGUACGAAUCAUCAAGGGUGUAAAUUUGCAACAGAACUAAACAGAGAAGAGAGGUGGUGAGGCCAACAAAGGCCAACAAAAGCCUGCUCCAUCAGCAUUCAUCUAGUGCGUCAACAAUGAUAUGUGAAAAUGUUUGAGUUGCCAGGUGUAAACAGAAACUAUUUUUUUGGGAAAGGAGGACAUCCCCAACCUGAACACCAAGAAUCUGAUCUUCCGCGCGGUCCUGCAGAACAGACCUGAACGAAUCAAGGGGCAGGGCCUUCUGAAAAAACAUGCUUAGAAGAAACAGCAGAGGUAGGAGGCAGCAGAGGGAGACGUCCAUAUGGCAAAGACCGACCAUGCCCAACAGGAACAGCAAGAGCACCAUCUUGCAGGCAGCGACGGUGGCAUGGAGGCAGAGAAGCAGAAGAGAAAGGCGAUCGUGCACGCCGACCGACAUACUCGGGGCACACCUUCGACAGGUUGUAUGAUAGUCGGAGAACCAGCAUCAAGCAUCAAGCAAAGAGGAAGGCCCAGAAGGUGGACGAUCAAAAGCACCAAAGGCAGCAGCACCAACCGAAUCAACAACUGGAACGGCAACAACAUCAAGGCAUAGGCAGGCGGCAAGCCGGCGUCCCAUACAACGAAGGCAUCAACAAAGAUGAAAGGUGAAGACGAACAGGAGGCAAGUUAUCCAGACCACGGCGGCGCGGCAACAACAGACGAAGAGGCGGCGGCCUAGGAGGCAGCCGGCCUCGCCCACGGCCAGGAAGACCAUCCCUACUCAUACGGAGACCUGCAACAAAGAAGAAGAAGAAAACCAUGAGAUCAGGAUCUAGCAAGAAAAGCUAAUCAAGCACGAAGAAGAAUGGAAAGAAGG